rnacentral:rRNA from 1 species
GACGAACGCUGGCGGCGUGCUUAACACAUGCAAGUCGAACGGAAAGGCCCUGCUUUUGUGGGGUGCUCGAGUGGCGAACGGGUGAGUAACACGUGAGUAACCUGCCCUUGACUUUGGGAUAACUUCAGGAAACUGGGGCUAAUACCGGAUAGGAGCUCCUGCUGCAUGGUGGGGGUUGGAAAGUUUCGGCGGUUGGGGAUGGACUCGCGGCUUAUCAGCUUGUUGGUGGGGUAGUGGCUUACCAAGGCUUUGACGGGUAGCCGGCCUGAGAGGGUGACCGGCCACAUUGGGACUGAGAUACGGCCCAGACUCCUCCGGGAGGCAGCAGUGGGGAAUAUUGCACAAUGGGCGGAAGCCUGAUGCAGCAACGCCGCGUGCGGGAUGACGGCCUUCGGGUUGUAAACCGAUUUCGCCUGUGACGAAGCGUGAGUGACGGUAAUGGGUAAAGAAGCACCGGCUAACUACGUG